UAAGCGGAGGAAAAGAAACCAACAGGGAUUGCCCUAGUAACGGCGAGUGAAGCGGCAACAGCUCAAAUUUGAAAUCUGGCGCAAGCCCGAGUUGUAAUUUGUAGAGGAUGCUUCUGGGCAGCGGCCGGUCUAAGUUCCUUGGAACAGGUCGUCAUAGAGGGUGAGAACCCCGUAUGUGACCGGCGCGCACCCUCCACGUAGCUCCUUCGACGAGUCGAGUUGUUUGGGAAUGCAGCUCUAAAUGGGAGGUAAAUUUCUUCUAAAGCUAAAUACCGGCCAGAGACCGAUAGCGCACAAGUAGAGUGAUCGAAAGAUGAAAAGCACUUUGGAAAGAGAGUUAAAAAGCACGUGAAAUUGUUGAAAGGGAAGCGCUUGCAACCAGACUCCGCGGCGGUGUUCCGCCGGUCUUCUGACCGGUCUACUCGCCGCCGUGGGGCCAACAUCGUCUGGGGCCGCCGGAUAAGACCGUUGGAAUGUGGCUCCCUCGGGAGUGUUAUAGCCAGCGGUGAUGCGGCGCGUCUCGGGCGAGGUCCGCGCUUCGGCAAGGAUGUUGGCGUAAUGGUUGCCAGCGGCCCGUCUUGAAACACGGACCAAGGAGUCUAACAUCUAUGCGAGUGUUCGGGUGUCAAACCCCUACGCGUAAUGAAAGUGAACGGAGGUGGGAGCUUCGGCGCACCAUCGACCGAUCCUGAUGUCCUCGGAUGGAUUUGAGUAAGAGCAUAGCUGUUGGGACCCGAAAGAUGGUGAACUAUGCCUGAAUAGGGUGAAGCCAGAGGAAACUCUGGUGGAGGCUCGCAGCGGUUCUGACGUGCAAAUCGAUCGUCAAAUUUGGGUAUAGGGGCGAAAGACUAAUCGAACCAU
rnacentral:rRNA from 1 species